AGGGGAGAAGACACAGGGAUUGCCCCAGUAACGGCGAGUGAAGCGGCAACAGCUCAAAUUUGAAAUCUGGCCCCCGGGUCCGAGUUGUAAUUUGCAGAGGAUGCUUCGGGCGAGGUGCCUUCCGAGUUCCCUGGAACGGGACGCCACAGAGGGUGAGAGCCCCGUCUGGUCGGACACCGAGCCCGUGUGAAGCUCCUUCGAAGAGUCGAGUAGUUUGGGAAUGCUGCUCAAAAUGGGAGGUAUAUGUCUUCUAAAGCUAAAUAUUGGCCAGAGACCGAUAGCGCACAAGUAGAGUGAUCGAAAGAUGAAAAGCACUUUGAAAAGAGGGUUAAAAAGUACGUGAAAUUGUUGAAAGGGAAGCGCCCAUGACCAGACUUGGGCCCGGUGAAUCACCCGGCGUUCUCGCCGGUGCACUUUGCCGGGCACAGGCCAGCAUCAGUUUGGCGCGGGGGACAAAGGCUUCGGGAACGUGGCUCCCCCGGGAGUGUUAUAGCCCGCUGCGUAAUACCCUGCGCCGGACUGAGGUACGCGCAUCGCAAGGAUGCUGGCGUAAUGGUCAUCAGCGACCCGUCUUGAAACACGGACCAAGGAGUCGUCUUCGUAUGCGAGUGUUCGGGUGUCAAACCCCUACGCGGAAUGAAAGUGAACGCAGGUGAGAGCUUCGGCGCAUCAUCGACCGAUCCUGAUGUUCUCGGAUGGAUUUGAGUAAGAGCAUACGGGGCCGGACCCGAAAGAAGGUGAACUAUGCCUGUAUAGGGUGAAGCCAGAGGAAACUCUGGUGGAAGCUCGCAGCGGUUCUGACGUGCGAAUCGAUCGUCAAAUAUGGGCAUGGGGGCGAAAGACUAAUCGAACCUUCUAGUAGCUGGUUUCCGCGAGUUUCUCCCCCCGACGAGGAAA
rnacentral:rRNA from 1 species